UAGAGUAUGGUGUAAUAUGGUAGCACGGAGAUUUUUGAUUUCUUAGGAGUAGGUUCGAUUCCUAUAACUCUAG
rnacentral:tRNA from 1 species